AGAGUUUGAUCCUGGCUCAGAACGAACGCUGGCGGCAGGCUUAACACAUGCAAGUCGAGCGCCCCGCAAGGGGAGCGGCAGACGGGUGAGUAACGCGUGGGAAUCUACCCUUGACUACGGAAUAACGCAGGGAAACUUGUGCUAAUACCGUAUGUGUCCUUCGGGAGAAAGAUUUAUCGGUCAAGGAUGAGCCCGCGUUGGAUUAGCUAGUUGGUGGGGUAAAGGCCUACCAAGGCGACGAUCCAUAGCUGGUCUGAGAGGAUGAUCAGCCACACUGGGACUGAGACACGGCCCAGACUCCUACGGGAGGCAGCAGUGGGGAAUUUUCCACAAUGGGCGAAAGCCUGAUGGAGCAAUACCGCGUGGGUGAUGAAGGUUCGUGGACUGUAAAGCCCUUUUCUUAAGGAAGAAUAAUGACGGUACUUAAGGAAUAAGCACCGGCUAACUCUGUGCCAGCCGCCGCGGUAAUAC
rnacentral:rRNA from 1 species